AUACCUUUCUUGGCCUUUUGGCUAAGAUCAAGUGUAGCAUCUGUUCUUAUCAGUUUAAUAUCUGAUACGUGGUUUAAUGAACCGCACAAUAUUAAAUUAAUUUCUUUAGGGCGAAGGUCCAAAAGGUAGCUUGCUAUCAGGGCCUUCAAGCAUCGCUUCUGUAUUGCACUACAACAGAAGCCUGAUGCAACCCAC